rnacentral:rRNA from 1 species
UACGGAGGGGACUAGCGUUGUUCGGAAUUACUGGGCGUAAAGCGCACGUAGGCGGCUUGUUAAGUCAGGGGUGAAAUCCUGGAGCUCAACUCCAGAACUGCCUUUGAUACUGGCGAGCUUGAGUUCGGGAGAGGUGAGUGGAACUGCGAGUGUAGAGGUGAAAUUCGUAGAUAUUCGCAAGAACACCGGUGGCGAAGGCGGCCUGCUGGGCAGUAGCUGACGCUGAGGCGCGACAGCGUGGGGAGCAAACAGG